UUUCUACGUUCACGAAAAACCCACCUAGAAAACUAGACUGUUUCCUGUCGGUUUGGAAAGAAGCGUCCACAGCUAAACAGACGCCGCCAUCUUGGAUGUGAUGUAGACGAGAGAUUGGAGGCGCGCGUGCCUCAGCAGCGUGUUAAUGAUUAAUGACUGACAGACCAUAAGAGCAUGGGUUGCAGGGAGCCUGGAGCCUAUCCCAGGGGUCUCGGGGCACCUGGACCUGGGGUGCAAACCCAUCACAGGGCACAAUCACACACACUCAGACACUUUAGAGAUGCCAGUCAGCCUACAACGCAUGUCUUUGGACUGGGGAGGAAACCCCCGAAGCACAGGGAGAACAUGCAAACUCCACACACACAGGGAGGACGAGGAGGGAAUCGAACCCCCAACCGUGGAGGCUGAGGAAACUUAUUUGGAACAUGAACCAGUUUUGAGGAACCAGACAAUAAACAUACACUAUAUGGCCAAAAGUUUGUGGACACCUGACCAUCACACUCAUAUGUACUUCAAGGAUUGACUUGGGACUGUCCGUGAUUAAAGUUAAAAUGUAAAAAUCAGAGAUGAAUAAGAAAUAAUAAGAAAUAAGAUAUGAAAUAUGAAAUAUAUGUACAGGAAUGUGCAAAAGGGAUGUACAAAAUAUGCAGUAUGUUAGGUGUAGUAACAAUACAAAGUGCAGUGUGUGGAGUGUCAGUGGAGUGCAGAGUGACUGUAGAGUCCUUGUGGAGUCCUAAGGGGUCUGCAUGGUGGACAUGUCCGUGUUGAGGAGUCUGAUGGCCUGAGGGAACUGAGAACAUCUCAGUUUUAGCCAAUGGACUACGGAAGCGCCUGCCUGAUUGCAGCAGGCUAAACAGAGAGUUACCGGGGUGGGUGGAGUCUCUGAAGAUUUUAGCAGCUCUGGUACUGCAUCGUCUGGUGUAGAUGUCAUGCAGAGAGGGGAGAGCAGAUCCGGAGAUGCACUCCGCUAAGCGCACCACUCUCUUCAGGGCUUUGCGGUCCUGGGUUGAGCAGUUACCAUACCUCGCUGAGAUUUACUGAGUUAGUAAACUUUCUAUGGCCCCAGUGUAGAAAGUUUUCAGGAUCACUGGGGAGACCCUGAAUUUCCUCAGCAGUCUCAGAUGGUACAGCCGAUGUCUGGCUUUGUUCUAUCUGCUCUGAACAAGCGAAUCUUUAGGCCACAUUCAGACUGAAGGUAAACAAAGAAAUAUGAUCUGCUGUAACUUCCUGGUGGUCUUGUGAUUAAAGGUCUUGCUGCUCGCCACAUGUCAAAUAUCAUCUAAAAGUGAAAUCAAAUGCUCUGCUUUCGGAAAUCCAGCUUCAAACUAAUAAAAAAUAAAAUCGAUUU